UAGCAGGAGGGGUUUUGUUUACCCCACCUACAUUUUUUCAUUUAAUAAUGGUGUGCGGGCGCUUUAAGGUGCUGGGCGGGAUUUCUAUCCCCUAUAUAUAGAUGGGGGACCCUUAUUUGGUGUGCGCUUCCUGUCCCCCACUCCUCUCUCUCCCGGAGCGUCUCACUUCCGGUCCAGCGGCAUUCAGCUUGGUUGAUUUAGCGCGGUUUUUGGCUCACUUCCAAAGAAGACUUGAAGAUUUUCGGCUGUUUUGCCGGCCCAGCAGCGUUGUAUUGUGCUCUUGUGGGUCUAGUUUCACUUUCAGUUUCAUAAGGUAGGUCUGCUCUGCUUAUUUUGUUAGUUUGAGCGUGAUUUUAGAAUUACAGCUGACUUGCUCUUUUGGAUUGGGGUAGGGAUAGCGGCCGUGUGGCUGUGCUGUUGCCGUGCUGUAGCUGAUCGUCUGCUGUGGCCAUUUCCUGUGUCUGCCGUGCCAUUUUCUGCUAGCUGCUGUUUGCUGCGCCAGCUGUGAUUGCCAGUGGUGUUGUCUGCUCUCUGCACUCUAACCCUGAUUGUUUGGGGAAACUGCAUGCUGUAUGAGCUGUGGGCCAAAGCGACAGAGCUUGGGGUGUGGAGUACCUUUUCACCAUUCUGUAGUGUAGAGCACUUGGUGUUUGAGAUAUGCAGUGCAGUCACGUGUGGUGUGUGUAGUGUAGGUGACCUCGUAUCCUUUUUCUGCUCCUUUCUGCCGCGGUAAGCCCUCAGUCCAG